rnacentral:tRNA from 1 species
GGAGGGGUGGCCGAGUGGUCGAUGGCGGCGGCUUGCUAAGCCGUUGAGUGGGGUAAUCCCUGCUCCCAGGGUUCGAAUCCCUGCCCCUCCG